GGGACAACCCGCCGAAAGGCGGGCUAAACCCGCGUACAUGCCACCGGGGCAUCCCGGAGGCAGGAAAGGCUUCGGCCGGACAGGGAUGGGCAUGCGGCGCAUUAGGCAGUAGGCGGGGUAACGGCCCACCUAACCGACGAUGCGUAGGGGUUCUGAGAGGAAGGUCCCCCACACUGGUACUGAGACACGGACCAGACUCCUACGGGAGGCAGCAGUGAGGAAUAUUGGUCAAUGGUCGGGAGACUGAACCAGCCAAGCCGCGUGAGGGAGGAAGGUACAGAGUAUCGUAAACCUCUUUUGUCAGGGAACAAAGACUGGGACGCGUCCCCGGAUGAGUGUACCUGAAGAAAAAGCAUCGGCUAACUCCGUGCCAGCAGCCGCGGUAAUACGGAGGAUGCGAGCGUUAUCCGGAUUUAUUGGGUUUAAAGGGUGCGCAGGCGGUCUGUUAAGUCAGCGGUCAAAGCCCGGGGCUCAACCCCGGCCCGCCGUUGAAACUGGCAGUCUCGAGUUGGAGAGAAGUAUGCGGAAUGCGCGGUGUAGCGGUGAAAUGCAUAGAUAUCGCGCAGAACUCCGAUUGCGAAGGCAGCAUGCCGGCUCCACACUGACACUGAGGCACGAAAGCGUGGGUAUCGAGCAGGAUUAGAUACCCUGGUAGUCCACGCAGUAAACGAUGAAUACUGGCUGUCCG
rnacentral:rRNA from 1 species